GGGUCAGUAGGUUGGUCGUGCCACCGGUACGUACUGGUCUCACUGAUUCCUCCUUCCUGAAGAACCGUAAUGCCACUAAUUUGGUGUUGCGGGGAAACAGGACUGUUACUUUGAAAAAAUUAGAGUGUUUAAAGCAAGCUAACGCUUGAAUACAUUAGCAUGGAAUAACGAAAUAGGACGAUCGAUCCUAUUUUGUUGGUUUCUAGGAUUGACGUA
rnacentral:rRNA from 1 species